rnacentral:rRNA from 1 species
GGAAAUCCUGCAUGUCUAAAGUGUAAUUUCGUUUUUCUGCUGCCUGCGAAUGGCUCAUUAUAUCAGUUAUAGACUACUUGGUAGUACCCUACUACUUGGAUACCCGUAGUAAUUCUAGAGCUAACACGUGCGAAAACCCCCCACUGCUUGGCGGACGGGGAGCAUUUAUUAGAUUGAAACCAAUGCGGCCUCGGUCGGGAUUGGGUUGAAUCAUAAUAACUGGGCGGAUCGCUUCACAGCGAUAAGUCAAUUGAGUUUCUGCCCUAUCAGCUUUGGAUGGAAGGAUAGGGGCCUACCAGGGCGUUAACGGGUAACGGGGAAUUAGGGUUUGAUUCCGGAAAGGGAGCCUUAAAAACGGCUACCCCAUCCAAGGAAGGCAGCAGGGCCGUAAAUUACCCAAUCCUGACCCAGGGAGGUAGGGACAAUAAAAAACAAUGCCGGGUUUUUCAAGUCUGGCAAUUGGAAUGAAAACAAUUUAAAUCCCUUAACGAGGAUCAAUUGGAGGGCAAGUCUGGUGCCAGCAGCCGCGGUAAUUCCAGCUCCAAUAGCGUAUAUUAAAGUUGUUGCAGUUAAAAAGCUCGUAGUUGGAUUUCUGGUUUGAGCGUCCGGUCGAGUUUAUCUCUGUACUAUGGUGUUUGGGCCAUUUUUUGGGGAGGGGGGCGCCUCCUGCCAUUCAGUUGGGGGUUGUGUCGACUUGCAUCGUUUACUGUGAAAAAAAUAACAGUGUUUAAAGCACGGCGUUUGCUCAUUUGAUACAUUAGCAGGAAUAAUAAGAUACGACCUUGUGGGCCAUAUUGUUGGUUUGCACACCGAGUAUGAUUAAUAGGGACAGUGGGGUAUUCUAUUUCCACGUCAGAGUGAAUUCUGGAUCGUUGAAGAUGAGCCUAGCCAAAGCAUUACCAGAAUGUUCAUUAUCAGACGAAGUAGGGUACGAGAGAUAGAUACAUCGACUCUAACAGAACAUGGCGACC